AGAGUUUGAUCCUGGCUCAGAAUGAACGCUGGCGGCGUGCUUAACACAUGCAAGUCGAGCGAGGCCUGGGGGGCAACUCCCAGAGUCGAGCGGCGGACGGGUGAGUAACACGUGGGUAACCUGCCCGGAAGUGGGGAAUACCUCGGGGAAACUCGAGCUAAUACCGCAUGACAUCUUCGGGACGAAAGUCCUGACGAUCAAAGCGGGGUCGCAAGAUCUCGCGCUACCGGAUGGGCCCGCGCCCGAUUAGCUAGUUGGUGAGGUAACGGCUCACCAAGGCUUCGAUCGGUAACCGGCCUGAGAGGGCGAUCGGUCACACCGGAACUGAGACACGGCCCGGACUCCUACGGGAGGCAGCAGUGGGGAAUCUUGCGCAAUGGGCGAAAGCCUGACGCAGCAACGCCGCGUGGAGGAUGAAGGCCCUUGGGUUGUAAACUCCUGUCGGCUGGGAAGAAAUCAUACGGUGCUCAUACCACCGUGUGUUGACUGUACCAGCAAAGGAAGCCCCGGCUAACUCUGUGCCAGCAGCCGCGGUAAUACAGAGGGGGCUAGCGUUAUUCGGAAUUAUUGGGCGUAAAGGGCGCGUAGGCGGCUCUGCGUGUCUUCCGUGAAAUCCCUCGGCUCAACUGAGGACGUGCGGAAGAAACUGCAGGGCUCGAGUCCGGGAGAGGGGGGUGGAAUUCCCAGUGUAGCGGUGAAAUGCGUAGAUAUUGGGAGGAACACCGGUGGCGAAGGCGGCCCCCUGGACCGGUACUGACGCUGAGGCGCGAAAGCGUGGGGAGCAAACGGGAUUAGAUACCCUAGUAGUCC
rnacentral:rRNA from 1 species